rnacentral:lncRNA from 1 species
CCCUCCUUCCCCGCCUCUCUGCAGUGGAGCUGAUGUCGUAAGCGUUACUUCUGGAAAAACUGAGCUUUAAAAAACAAAUUGCAAAACAAAAACAAGAACAAAAAAGCAAAACAAACCCAAAAAGCCAAACUGCACGGGCGUUGGAAAUAUCCCAUAAAUACCUGAAAUAUUAUCUUUUCUCAGCGGGUGGGGAGGGAGUGGUCGUGGGCAGAUGUCACGGGAACGCCUUAUGCAGGGACCUGUUUUGAGGACAGAACCGUCAUUCUGUCCCGUUGGAUGACACUGGCGGGGAGCGGAGAUGGUCUUGGUUCUAUAUCUGAAAAGGCGCUUUGGGAAGAUAAAGGCGUUUGAUGUGACUUUUUGACGUUUUGAGAGACAGCGGAAAGCAAAAACAGGGAUGCUCAGCUGGAGGCCUAGAGUGAGGCCCAUGGGGUGGUGGUGGGGGCAGGUCCAGGCUUUUGGGAAGGCUCAUGCAGCACCCCCGAACCUCCCCUGAGGUCUCCUGCAGCCUCGCCUGGUCCCCAGCAUGACACUUGGAGGUCCCGUCAUCACUGCAUUGCGCACUGAUUAAACCACAUGGCCCUGCUCCAUGCAGGGGGGCCUCACCUCACGUGUUGAGGGCCGGACUUGAACCGAAAACGGUGGAGAAUCAGGGAUUUGCCAUCUGUCUCGGCUGCAGCAGAUCCAUUUGUCUGGUCUUGUCACCCUUGCACGCGGGGCUCCGGGUCCUCAGGCCUUUGGAUUCAGAGCAAAUAACACCACCGGCUUUCCUGGGUCUCCAUCUUCUGGAUGCAGAUGGUGGCAAGUGGUCUGCCUGCAGUAUCGCAGGAGCCGAUGCCUCUACCGACUGUCCUCUUGCAUGAACUUACAUGUCCUGUGUCCCGUGCAGAGCCCUGACUUAGAGGGGGUGCGGGUGUCGGCUAGCAGGUGCUCCAAGAAGACGUCUCCGAACACACGGGUGGUCUCCGAUGCCACAGGAAAGGAGCAGAGCCCGUGGCAUGGACGUAUCGACCCCGAGAACCUCCAUCCGUCCCCACGGAUCCCUCCAUUUCGGACUUGCGACUGCCAGCGCUCCGAGACAAUAAAUAUCCGCUGUCUUGAGACCGUCCUCCGACCCCCAGCGCCGGUGUAUGGUCCUGAGAAACAGACGCAAGAGACAAGCGGACAAGGACAUCCCGUCUGCGCCCACCUGUUUCCUCCCAUCACAGAUGCUUCUGUGCAGGGUCAACGGGGAGGAUGGAGCGGGUGGCCUGGGUGGAGAAAGCUCCCGGGUGCCGUUCCCGCUGGCUCGGCUGCGCGGUUGGCUCCUUCAGCAGCCAUCCUGCAGCAUCCAUCACGUCUCUUCGUCACGACGACACAAUUUGCAAUCGGGGUGCAAAAGCCACCUGUUAUUUAUUGCAAGGAGGUCUGGGUGCUGGGGGAUUUGCAAAGAGCGGGUGUGGCGCGCACAGAUCGAGAGCGUGGGUGCUCGUGUCCGACCCCCCUGCGCUUGUGGGCGGGACCUGAGACGAUUCUGCUUCUCAUCCACACAAUACGGCGGCCGGGAUGGGAACCCACUGCCACGCGGGGCACAGGUGCCUCCCCGUGGGGCCUGUUCUGUGUCCUUCAGCAACGCCAGUCGAAUUUCAAUAUCCGUGGACUAGAGUGUGAGAGGAGCACGGCCACACCCGUUCCUUUCUGUGCUGGGCCCCAGGGCUGGUUUGGUGAGUCAUUGCAACAGAUGGCCUGGCUGUCCCCUUGCACGUGUGGCCCCCCUCCUGCCCCCUGGCCUGGGGGGGAGGGACGAAGGGCACAGUCUUUCCAAGGAACAGAAGCAGACGCUCGGACGAGCUCACCCUUUUGCAAACCAGGCCACCUACUUGCACUUGUGGCAAUUGCCCGCCUGUGACACUGUGAUUUGUGCUAAGUGCAUACCAUUGGCGCCUACUCCCCGCAGCCUGGCCCUGGAGCUCCCCGAACCCUGCGUUGUCCUAAGGGCUGGGUCUUUGUAUCGUUGUGUGGAGGAGGUGACUUUGGGGGAAGCCCUAUGGGUGGCCGCUGGUUGCCUUAUGCCUGGACGUUCGCAGCUUUCAGUCACUCCCGCGGGCCGUCGAAUCCAUCUCCCGAUGGCCAGCGACGACUUCCUCGAUCACGCCUGUGCUAUGGAGCCUCCCCGACAAAAAAAAAAAAAUCCCAAAGAAAAGGGGUUCAGAGGGACUGGGAAGGCAGGAGGAUCGGGGGAGGGAGGCCCACCAGGUGUGCAUGCUCGGGUGCUUUGCGGGCCGGACCCCUGACUGUCCCCAGGGAGGGAGGGGUUACUGGCACCAGACUGGCGUCACCUGCUUUGGGGGCAGCCCAGCGCCGCCGGGAGGAGGGUCUGAGCAGCUCUAAGGCCUGACUCAUCCUCCAGGGCCCCCCACGGGCCAGUUUCUAACACCCAGGAUGACCUCGCUGUAGGCCAGACCCCGAGGGUCCACGUUGGGGGAACGUCACCCAAAAUACCUCCUUCCUUCUUGCUCCAGAGCCCAGACCUUGUGGAGGGUGUGCAGCCGUGCUGUGCCCCAGAAGAUGCGUCUGCACGGCAAAUUCACCCGCUCACCCCCGUUUCCUUCCUCCUGCUGGGCUGCCCGGGAUGACUCACAGGGCGUGCACCCCACCCAGAGAGCACGCCCGCCCCAAUUUCACACCCCGUCCCCAGCCAAACAUCCCAGCUGCGGAAUUCCUACAACACAAAGUCCUUGUUGGAGGAUGAAAAUCAGUGAGCAAGCGUCUCUGGGGCGGGGAGGGCGGGGGAAACCCUGUGCUUCCUCUUUCUUCUCCAGACUCUGUGUUGACAAGGGGGCGAGCAUCCUCCCCUGGGUCGCGCCGUCGCGCGGCGGGGGUUUUGCUUGUGUGCUCCACCACCACCAGCAAACGCCCCCAAGUCACCGAAAAGCAGGCAAACAGGAGGAACCACACCCAGAUGUGACCCGCUGGGCCCCCCUCCAACGCCCCCACCCCGCCCGGCUCACGGGGUUUCUCUGCCUUGGUCUUGGGCCUCCCGGUGGAGACAUUGCUCUGCGAUUCUGGGAACCCGCUUCUUUAACCACAAAGCACGAGGCGCUGACGAGCAGCCCCGAGACGCACGGGUCUCUGGGAGGUUUUGCAAAAGCAAACGGUAAUGGACCUAAAACUUGAAAAGGUAUUUUCUUUGCAACAUGUGUCUUUAGAAACUCUGCAAUGCAUGCUUUUAAGAAGUUUGCAACGCGUGUUUUUAAAGAAGCCAAGACAAGAGUCACUGGGCCAAGAGAAGCCUUCUGCGUGUCGUGUCGGCGGUGGAGACCACUUCAUCUCCACCCCACUGGUCCGCGGGAGGACGACAUGGCUGGUUCCUAUUCCCAAGGGGACGGCCUCCCAGUAGACGAGACACACUCGGGAGUGGAAGGCUCUGUGAGUCUCCACGCCCACAUCUCAAACCUCCGUGAAGUCGGACACAAUCCGGGGCCUUGUGGGGCGUCAGGAGGAAUCACAGGGACAGGGCGGCCCAGGUGGAUGGGUUCGGGAAUUCCGCGGGACAAGCUUGCUCAACUGCAGGCUCCGAUUUCACCCAUGUGGGACGUGGGGGCCAUUUGGUGUCUCCAGCAAGCACCCCGGAGAUGCAGCGGCCGCUGGCCGCAGGACCCCACCCGAGACAGCAACGUGGAGAAGAUGGACCCCAAGAACCUGGUGAGGAGGGUCUGAACGUGCUCAGGAGCAGGGAGGCUGGAUGUGUCGCAACCUGACGGAUGUUGGAGUUUGCUCCCUGGAACGAUGGACCGUGGCUGGUCCCGCGUGCGCCAUGCUUACGUCACAGCAGAACUGCACGUGCAAAGAGGAAAGGUCAUCGUGUCUGCUUGCUUGGUCCUCACCGUGUCUCCGAAUGAGCAGCCGCCUCUGCAAACCACAGACACACUGAGGUGUGGACAUCCUGAACGUUGAUUCCAGCGACUUUGUCCGAGCAAGUGCUGGCACCGCAAGGCCUCAGCUGAGCUGUUUGCAGAGCCUGCUCCCAUGGAUAGACCCCAUCUAGUUGGGGGUCCCCUGCCGUCCAUCUGUACCCAGCUCCCCAGCUCCUGACUUGGUGGCGCUAUGAGCUUCCCUUGACCUUGAUGCCACGAUUUUUUUUCAGCCAGCCGCCUGGCUCAGCUGGAGGCUCUGUGCUCUCCUCCCACAUGAGGCCACGAUGAAUGGACAAAGACGGCCCUUGGUUAUUUUCCAUAGCCUUGCACCAGGUCCUACUGGUU